rnacentral:rRNA from 1 species
UACGAAGGGGGCUAGCGUUGCUCGGAAUCACUGGGCGUAAAGGGUGCGUAGGCGGGUCUUUAAGUCAGGGGUGAAAUCCUGGAGCUCAACUCCAGAACUGCCUUUGAUACUGAAGAUCUUGAGUUCGGGAGAGGUGAGUGGAACUGCGAGUGUAGAGGUGAAAUUCGUAGAUAUUCGCAAGAACACCAGUGGCGAAGGCGGCUCACUGGCCCGAUACUGACGCUGAUGCACGAAAGCGUGGGGAGCAGACAGG